rnacentral:rRNA from 1 species
ACAGAAGAAGUCCCGGCAAACUCCGUGCCAGCAGCCGCGGUAAUACGGAGGGGGCAAGCGUUGUUCGGAAUUAUUGGGCGUAAAGGGCAUGUAGGCGGUUUGGUGAGUUAAAGGUGAAAUGCCAGGGCUUAACCCUGGAGCUGCUUUUAAUACUGCCAGACUAGAGUCCGGGAGAGGAUAGCGGAAUUCCUAGUGUAGAGGUGAAAUUCGUAGAUAUUAGGAGGAACACCAGUGGCGAAGGCGGCUAUCUGGUCCGGUACUGACGCUGAGGUGCGAAAG